rnacentral:lncRNA from 1 species
CCGUUUGGCUGUGCGGGAUGUAUCAAGUUCGCAGUCACGUCCGGUCAGAAGGGGGACGUUAAAUCCGAUGCCUCGUGUAAAGAGAGUGCCACGCUCUUUGCACAUUAAGAACCCUUGCAACAACUCUUUGAGGGUCCGUAGGUGGCCUGUUGCAAGGCAAAAUUUCUGUCCCUAUCCAAUAUACCCUCAUUUUCCAGUGGCAGUCCAAAUUUUCCCGACCAUCAUCCUAGAUGGCCUCUAUUAC